CUCCACCAUCCGUAACGUCCUUCCCCGUCACGAACAAGGAGGAGUCUUCGCCGCCGAGGGUUACGCUCGUUCCUCCGGCAAACCGGGAAUCUGCAUAGCCACUUCGGGUCCCGGAGCUACCAACCUCGUCAGCGGGUUAGCAGACGCGAUGCUUGACAGUGUUCCUCUUGUCGCCAUUACAGGACAGGUCCCUCGCCGGAUGAUCGGUACUGACGCCUUCCAAGAGACGCCAAUCGUUGAGGUAACGAGGUCUAUUACGAAACAUAACUAUUUGGUGAUGGAUGUUGAUGACAUACCUAGGAUCGUUCAAGAAGCUUUCUUUCUAGCUACUUCCGGUAGACCCGGACCGGUUUUGGUUGAUGUUCCUAAGGAUAUUCAGCAGCAGCUUGCGAUUCCUAACUGGGAUCAACCUAUGCGCUUACCUGGCUACAUGUCUAGGUUGCCUCAGCCUCCGGAAGUUUCUCAGUUAGGUCAGAUCGUUAGGUUGAUCUCGGAGUCUAAGAGGCCUGUUUUGUACGUUGGUGGUGGAAGCUUGAACUCGAGUGAAGAACUGGGGAGAUUUGUCGAGCUUACUGGGAUCCCCGUUGCGAGUACUUUGAUGGGGCUUGGCUCUUAUCCUUGUAACGAUGAGUUGUCCCUGCAGAUGCUUGGCAUGCACGGGACUGUGUAUGCUAACUACGCUGUGGAGCAUAGUGAUUUGUUGCUGGCGUUUGGUGUUAGGUUUGAUGACCGUGUCACGGGAAAGCUCGAGGCUUUCGCUAGCAGGGCUAAAAUUGUGCACAUAGACAUUGAUUCUGCUGAGAUUGGGAAGAAUAAGACACCUCACGUGUCUGUGUGUGGUGAUGUAAAGCUGGCUUUGCAAGGGAUGAACAAGGUUCUUGAGAACCGGGCGGAGGAGCUCAAGCUUGAUUUCGGUGUUUGGAGGAGUGAGUUGAGCGAGCAGAAACAGAAGUUCCCUUUGAGCUUCAAAACGUUUGGAGAAGCCAUUCCUCCGCAGUACGCGAUUCAGAUCCUCGACGAGCUAACCGAAGGGAAGGCAAUUAUCAGUACUGGUGUUGGACAGCAUCAGAUGUGGGCGGCGCAGUUUUACAAGUACAGGAAGCCGAGACAGUGGCUGUCGUCAUCAGGCCUCGGAGCUAUGGGUUUUGGACUUCCUGCUGCGAUUGGAGCGUCUGUGGCGAACCCUGAUGCGAUUGUUGUGGAUAUUGACGGUGAUGGAAGCUUCAUAAUGAACGUUCAAGAGCUGGCCACAAUCCGUGUAGAGAAUCUUCCUGUGAAGAUACUCUUGUUAAACAACCAGCAUCUUGGGAUGGUCAUGCAAUGGGAAGAUCGGUUCUACAAAGCUAACAGAGCUCACACUUAUCUCGGGGACCCGGCAAGGGAGAACGAGAUCUUCCCUAACAUGCUGCAGUUUGCAGGAGCUUGCGGGAUUCCAGCUGCGAGAGUGACGAAGAAAGAAGAACUCCGAGAAGCUAUUCAGACAAUGCUGGAUACACCAGGACCAUACCUGUUGGAUGUGAUAUGUCCGCACCAAGAACAUGUGUUACCGAUGAUCCCAAGUGGUGGCACUUUCAAAGAUGUAAUAACAGAAGGGGAUGGUCGCACUAAGUACUGAGAGAUGAAGCUGGUGAUCGAUCAUAUGGUAAAAGACUUAGUUUCAGUUUCCAGUUUCUUUUGUGUGGUAAUUUGGGUUUGUCAGUUGUUGUACUACUUUUGGUUGUUCCCAGACGUACUCGCUGUUGUUGUUUUGUUUCCUUUUUCUUUUAUAUAUAAAUAAACUGCUUGGGUUUUUUUUCAUAUGUUUGGGACUCAAUGCAAGGAAUGCUACUAGACUGCGAUUAUCUACUAAUCUUGCUAGGAAAUGGCACUUUACAUUGGGUGUGAUUGUCAUAUUUUCAGUUUUUUAGCUACGAGAACGAUGAAAGUUCAGAUUUCACACACUAUAUAUAUGUUUGAUCGAUGUUGUAUGCUCUUAAACAUUUCUAUCUUUCCUUUUCUCAUAUUAUCCAUCACACUCUUUAAUAUGAUGUAAAUUGCUUCUUCUCUAAGCUACACCAGUCGUAAGCAACAUACGAAGAAGCUUUUUGAAAACAUCUUUUAUUCUCUCAUCACACUUUGUGUAUGUGUCAAUAACAUGUCAACUUCAUCUGUGUUGAAAUAAACAUUCGGUUCAUUGUAACAACAAUAAUUUCUGUCUUUUUUUUUUAUCAACACAAUAAUUUUCUGUCUUACACCUAAGUAACACAUGUUCUUUCGUUCUCCCCAUUUUUAUUUAAGUGCGACACUUCAAACCCAUUAACAGAUCAAACAACCAAAUCACAUACAGCAGCUUCACAUCAGAUCAACUUUAACACACCCCUAUGUCAUCGCAUUUCAUUCUCUCCCUGCUUAAAUGGUCACACUCUUAUACAAACCAUAAGCCUAGUGAUAUUUAUUAUUCCAGCGUCUUAUAGCCGCUGUCAAAUAUCAACCUACCAUACUAUUACAUCAUCAGAGAUAUUCCCGGUUUCUCUCUAAGCUUGACAAGAACACGUGAGACACAAUUCCGAACUCGGCUUUAGCAUUCUCUUAAAAGAUGGUAUGAUCAGGACCCUUGCCUCAUACCAACAUCUUGUGAUCACAGCUUCUUAAUAUCAAGACUUUUGUAGACGAUCAUCAUCCGAUUAUCACAAUGCCUUAUUUCCAAACUUGCGAUCAUAAUCAUAUUGACCCUUUACUGUCACAACGUCCUUUUGUAUCGAAAUUUAUUCCGAGCAAAACACUUACUUGUCCAAGAAAAAUAAGCUCCACAAUAAAAUUCUUUUGAGUCUUCCGACUCAUAUAACAUGAUCUAGCGAAAAUUUUAGAUUACAACCAGUCUUUAACUCCUUAAUCCGAAACUCAGCCUGUCGAAGACCAAAUCCAAAACCAAACGCCUCCAAGCUUUGAGCACUUUAUGAGUCUAUUAUGAUUGUCAUGUGAUUGAUCCCAUACCACAACAACCCAUGUCUUCUUAAUUUGAAACAAAAACUUACUAUGCCCCUCCAUGAGGACUUCUCCUCACAUCAGCUUCUUGAGAGUUUAUAUGGAUAUUCAAUCUUGUUCUGAACACUCAUGAUAGUUGCGAACCUCCCUUUCUGACAGCUGCAUCCAGUGAAUGGUGAACCUUAUGCACCACCAACCAUGAUGCAUCACAAAGCCUGAAUAAUUGCAUCACACACUGCCAUCACAUCUAUCUUAAUAUCUCUGUCGAUUAUGUCUGUUUCAAUAUGAGAACAAUAUUAAAAACAAACUCUCACACUAGAUGUUGGAAGUGAUCAUAAAUAAUAUAUAAUAAUAUAAAUAUACAUACCAACCCAGUCAUCACAAAUUGGUUUUAGUUAAAAACUUAUCGAACUUAAUAUGGUAUCAUAUCCCUAUCUACGCAAUCCAAUCCGAUCCGCAAUCCAACCCGAUCCGCAAUCCAAAGUUGGUCCAUCUAUAUUUUUCCGAAAGUUAAAAGAGCCAUCAAAUCUCGAGUGUGCUUACUAGAGACAAAGUCUCCCAAAUUGAAAGUUGAAAGUAAACAUAAAUAAUAUAUAAGAUAUAUGGGGUCAAUCCACUUAUCAAUUGGUUUCAGGUUCUAAGCUCAUCUAAUAUCAUAAACAACACAUGAGAGUCAGUCUACUCCUCCUUUACAUCCAACGACAUAGUCAAAACUUCUAAAAAAUCCCUAUUUUAUGUUAAAUAAUUAGUUUGAAUAAUGUAUAUUACUAUUAUUUGAAUUAAUUUUUUUGCAUUCGAAAAGUAAUUUUAAUUGUCAUGUUCUCCAUGAUUUUAUGUAAUUUUCGUAUUAAAUUUUUCACUUUAAAAGUUAAAUUGGUUAAAGUCAUUGGUACCCUUAAUGAAUAAAUUGGUUAAAGUCAUUGGUACCCUUAAUGAAUAAUUAUAUGGAUAUAUUAUAGUUAUAUAUUUAGUUAUAAAUAUUUAUAAUAAUAAAUUAAUCAAAAUAAGUAAAUAUCAUGAUAUCCUACGAAACAUACAUCAAUAAGUUUAUUCAAAAAUCAAAAGAUCAACAACUCUGAAUUCUCGUGAUAAUGCCAAACUUUUUUCCAUGAUCCUACCAUGUAUCCACCAAGGAAUUCCUCAAGCAAUAUACGACUGAUUACCAUUAAUUAAUCGAAAAUAAAUUCACAUGCCAUUCAUCAGAAAUGUAUCCAUGGAACUUCAUACUUCUCGGUCACAUCACUAAUUCAACUCUUUUAUUACUUCACUUACAAGUUCUCUUCCUCAUCUCCUUCAGAUAAUAUACUCCUAGGCUCCUAGCCACCAAUCCAUAAUCUACCCGAAACAAGAUCAGAUUUACAAGAUCUCUAGCAUGAAUCCUCUUUGGUACCAUUUGAAAUUUUGGAUUUUCAGGAUAUAUUUAUAUGUUUCAUCAAUGUGAUAUGUAAAUGCGUAAACUAAAGAAGACACAUAGUUUUUUCAUGAGGUUUUGUUCUCUCUACAUCCCCUAGACCUAGUCUAAAAAUAAAUAUACCAGACAAAUAAAACAAAUACAGUUUCAAAUGGGAUCAAAGUGUUAAGAAACGUUUUAGGGAGCUGUUUAUGCCACCUAUGCGCUAUGCCCUAUAAAACUGUGAAGAUUACUUUUACCAAAAAAAAAAAAAAAACUGAGAGUCUGUAUGGGGUAUUUUCGUAAACAAACAAAACCCUCACAAGCCUCGUUUUAUAAAAACGAUUCACGUUCACAAACUCAUUCAUCAUCUCUCUCUCCUCUAACCAUGGCGGCGGCAACAUCGUCUUCUCCGAUCUCCUUAACCGCUAAACCUUCUUCCAAAUCCCCUCUACCCAUUUCCAGAUUCUCCCUUCCCUUCUCCUUAACCCCACAGAAAGACUCCUCCCGUCUCCACCGUCCUCUCGCCAUCUCCGCCGUUCUCAACUCACCCGUCAAUGUCGCACCUCCUUCCCCUGAAAAAACCGACAAGAACAAGACUUUCGUCUCCCGCUACGCUCCCGACGAGCCCCGCAAGGGUGCUGAUAUCCUCGUCGAAGCCCUCGAGCGUCAAGGCGUCGAAACCGUCUUUGCUUAUCCCGGAGGUGCUUCCAUGGAGAUCCACCAAGCCUUGACUCGCUCCUCCACCAUCCGUAACGUCCUUCCCCGUCACGAACAAGGAGGAGUCUUCGCCGCCGAGGGUUACGCUCGUUCCUCCGGCAAACCGGGAAUCUGCAUAGCCACUUCGGGUCCCGGAGCUACCAACCUCGUCAGCGGGUUAGCAGACGCGAUGCUUGACAGUGUUCCUCUUGUCGCCAUUACAGGACAGGUCCCUCGCCGGAUGAUCGGUACUGACGCCUUCCAAGAGACACCAAUCGUUGAGGUAACGAGGUCUAUUACGAAACAUAACUAUUUGGUGAUGGAUGUUGAUGACAUACCUAGGAUCGUUCAAGAAGCUUUCUUUCUAGCUACUUCCGGUAGACCCGGACCGGUUUUGGUUGAUGUUCCUAAGGAUAUUCAGCAGCAGCUUGCGAUUCCUAACUGGGAUCAACCUAUGCGCUUACCUGGCUACAUGUCUAGGUUGCCUCAGCCUCCGGAAGUUUCUCAGUUAGGUCAGAUCGUUAGGUUGAUCUCGGAGUCUAAGAGGCCUGUUUUGUACGUUGGUGGUGGAAGCUUGAACUCGAGUGAAGAACUGGGGAGAUUUGUCGAGCUU
rnacentral:lncRNA from 1 species